UUCCAUCCAGGUUGGUGGGCUGCUCGGCAUUGGGUGAAAACGACCUGCGCAAAGGGGAAGGGAUGGGAACGAAUCAAUGGAAAGAGGGGAAGUCAGGGCCCCAGUGAUUUGUCGGGAGAGAGAAGCUUCCACAGGUUUCUGUCCCAGACGAUCCCAAUCAUGGACUAAAUCUACUACCUACUUCUAUCUUUCUCUGCAAGCUUAGAGCCUGUGUUUCCUGAACUAUGAAAGGUGCCUACUAAUGACCUUCCUCUUUCAACAAGCCUUUUAAGCAGAGA